rnacentral:rRNA from 1 species
AUUGAACGCUGGCGGAAUGCUUUACACAUGCAAGUCGAACGGCAGCACGGGGCAACCUGGUGGCGAGUGGCGAACGGGUGAGUAAUACAUCGGAACGUGCCCAAUCGUGGGGGAUAACGUAGCGAAAGUUACGCUAAUACCGCAUACGAUCUACGGAUGAAAGCGGGGGAUCGCAAGACCUCGCGCGAAUGGAGCGGCCGAUGUUAGAUUAGGUAGUUGGUGGGGUAAAGGCUCACCAAGCCAACGAUCUGUAGCUGGUCUGAGAGGACGACCAGCCACACUGGAACUGAGACACGGUCCAGACUCCUACGGGAGGCAGCAGUGGGGAAUUUUGGACAAUGGGCGCAAGCCUGAUCCAGCCAUUCCGCGUGCAGGAUGAAGG